GAGUAGGCAGGGGAAACUGCUGAGCAUCCCAAAAUGAACAGGACAGUCCCUGCAAGUGCUAAGCUGGCUCAAUAUUUCAAGUCUUCCAAGGCUGAGAAACCUUGAACUGAAGGAUUGAGGAAGCCAUGAAUCACUGUCCCAAGCCUAUUUACCCGACCGGAACGUCUACACAGGAGGACCAGGAAUGUGAUGUGCUGCACACAAUCUUGGGCAUUUUUGAAGCAUAAUGAAGUUUGAGAACAAUAGCUACAGUAAAUAGGCAUCCCUGUGUGGUGGUGUAUAAGUUUCCUCUGGGAUUGCAACAUCUAUUCUGCAGGACAGUUCUUUCAUCAGGAUGAUAAACAACUCAAAACAACCUCAGGAAGUCCCUGAAACUUACCAGAUUAAGAAGCAGAAACCAGCAGAGCUGCCUGCAAGAAGUUUAGACCACAGUCAUUUGGAAAGAGCACUCUCCAACCUGCUGAGCUGCCUGCAGGCUGUGCAUCAUGCUCCAGGUUUUCCAGCAUUGUGAGCUGUCACCCAUGCUGGGGUGGCUUUGGUGAUGCAGCUGU